AGCCAAACAAGUAUUAAAGGCGACGCCUGCCCAGUGAACAAUUAAACGGCCGCGGUACCCUAACCGUGCAAAGGUAGCAUAAUCAUUUGUCUACUAAUUAUAGACCUGUAUGAAAGGCAAAAUGAGGGUCUAGCUGUCUCUUAUAAUUAAUCAAUUAAACUGAUCUUCCAGUUAAAAAGCUGGAAUACAAACAUAAGACCAGAAGACCCUGUGAAGCUUAAACUAAACCAUUAAAUCAAAUAAUGAUAACUUUCGGUUGGGGCGACCUUGGAAAAAAAAAGAACUUCCAACACAGUGAUUAUAACCCACUAACCCUAGGCCUACAAGCCAAUAAAGACCCAGUAUACCUGAUAAAAGAACCAAGUUACUCCAGGGAUAACAGCGCAAUCUUCUUCAAGAGCCCAUAUCAAAAGGAAGGUUUACGACCUCGAUGUUGGAUCAGGACAUCCUGAUGGUGCAACCGCUAUCAAAGGUUCGUUUGUUCAACGAUUAAUAGUCCU
rnacentral:rRNA from 1 species